UACAAAAACAAAUUUGAAAAUUAUAAAUAAUAUUUCCACAGUGCUGUGAAACUAUAUAAUUAUUUGUGUUUUCGUUUUGUGGUGAAAACCGAGAUGCAAGCAGUAACGUUUCUACAAUCGAUCCGCAGUAUACUAACAAUCCAACCAAGAUAAUUCCGAGUAACACCUGCGGAUGCUCUAGAAAUUGAGCAGAAAACAAUUGGCCAAUGGGGAAAUAAAUUGUACGAACAAUACCGCAUGGACAGACUGACAGCUUCAAAUUUUGGGGAAGUCUACAAAACCAAUUUAAGGACUACUUCAAUUAAUUAUGGAAAAGUCAAAUAAGCAGUGGCUCGUGAAAGAUUCGCUCAUGAGACCCAAAUCAAAGUCAAGGAAUCUGGAAUUUUUAUUAUCUUGGAGCUACCCCUGAUGCGGUGAUUGACAAUGGUGCUAUACUCGAAAUAAAGUGUCUGCAUAAAGUCCACAAAUCGGGGAAAACACUGGCUGAAGCAAUUAAAUCUGAUAAGACUUUAUGUAUGGAGAUAAUAUUUGAGGAAGGGAAAGAAGUUAUAAGGCUCAAAAAAACGCAUCAGUACUAUUACCAGAUAAAUCAUAUCUAAAUAAUUG